rnacentral:rRNA from 1 species
GACGAACGCUGGCGGCGUGCUUAACACAUGCAAGUCGAGCGAGUUGAUUCCCUUCGGGGAUGAAGCUAGCGGCGGACGGGUGAGUAACACGUGGGCAACCUGCCUUAUAGAGGGGGAUAGCCUUCCGAAAGGAAGAUUAAUACCGCAUAACAUCAGAUUAUCGCAUGGUAGACUGAUCAAAGGAGCAAUCCGCUAUAAGAUGUGCCCGCGUCGCAUUAGCUAGUUGGUGAGGUAACGGCUCACCAAGGCGACGAUGCGUAGCCGACCUGAGAGGGUGAUCGGCCACAUUGGGACUGAGACACGGCCCAGACUCCUACGGGAGGCAGCAGUGGGGAAUAUUGCACAAUGGGGGAAACCCUGAUGCAGCAACGCCGCGUGAGUGAUGAAGGCCUUCGGGUUGUAAAGCUCUUUGAUCAGGGACGAUAAUGACGGUACCUGAAGAACAAGCCACGGCUAACUACGUGCCAGCCGCCGCCGUAAAAC